UGCUCGAGUGGCGAACGGGUGAGUAACACGUGGGUGAUCUGCCCUGCACUUCGGGAUAAGCUCGGGAAACUGGGUCUAAUACCGGAUAGGACCAUCGUUUAGUGUCGGUGGUGGAAAGUUUUUCGGUGUGGGAUGAGCUCGCGGCCUAUCAGCUUGUUGGUGGGGUAAUGGCCUACCAAGGCGUCGACGGGUAGCCGGCCUGAGAGGGUGUACGGCCACAUUGGGACUGAGAUACGGCCCAG
rnacentral:rRNA from 1 species